GGGGGGGGGGGGGGGGGGGGGGGGGGGGGGGGGGGGGGGGGGGGGGGGGGGGGGGGGGGGGGGGGGGGGACCGGCUCCGGCAGCAGCACCGGGAUCCCGCUACCGGCAAACACGCACACGCAGCCCUUCGGCGGUCCCGGCUCCAGCCGCCCCUUUCAGCAUCCCCGCUGCCUUCCCCGGCCGCAGCCCCCCGCACGUCCCCCAGCCCGGCCCGGAGCUUCCCCGCUGCUGCCAGGACCCGGCCGCACCGGCCCUGCACCAGAUCCAGCUACCUGCUGCCUUCUCACCUUUCCCAAUGGGGAACGGGGCAGCGAGCCCCCCCAGCCGCCGAGUGCUCAGAGUCAGCACGGACAGCAGCGGCCCGGGCAGCCCGGAGCACCCACACCCUGCAGCGCAGACCCCCAGCAGCACCGACUUCCACCCGAGCCCGAAGCAGAGGGCGCCAGGUGAAGUGUGACCAUCUCUGCCAGAGUUUCACUCCUGUCUCCUUCCAGGGCAGUCAUUUCCUUCGACCAAAUCCACCAUCACCAAGCACUGACCCUCCUCGGCCACUGGAGUCCUGACUGUGAGUCUUCGACUCCACUGCCUUGACUCUUCCAAACUCCCAUCACCUUCUUGGACUGUGCCUUCUCUUUGAAUCAUCAUCCUUCUCCACAGCAAGCCUCAUCCUACUUCUCCAGUUUUCUGGAUGCGGUUUUCUGGUUGGCCUCAAGCUGCACCCCACCUAGAGCUCUUCCACUCCCUACUGCACAGCCAGCACCUCAGCCAAGCCCCUCCCUUCUCCCUUCUCCCUUCUCCCCUCUCCCCUUCUCCCUUCUCCCUUCUCCCUUCUCCCUUCUCCCUUCUCCCUUCUCCCUUCUCCCUUCUCCCUUCUCCCUUCUCCCUUCUCCCUUCUCCCUUCUCCCUUCUCCCUUCUCCCUUCUCCCUUCUCCCUUCUCCCUUCUCUCCUAAGCCCAUAGUCCCACCAUCCACCUCCCCUCCCACCCCUGUCAGUAUCAGAGACCCCACCACAGCACGCAGGAGCAGAGGUCCCACCCAGAGCCUCUCCUGGGGCUUCACGUGCUGCCCUUCCUUCCCUCAGGUGUUCACACCUGCCAGCACAGCCCUAUGCCAGCAGUUCCCCUCCCCAUAUCCUCUGCUGAGAGCCCGGAGCUGCCAUCCCCACACCACAGCCACGGCCACGGGCAGACAAAGGACACAUCCCACUCCCCUCCUUCCCCAGACAGCGGGCACCUGUGCCCAGACUGAGCAGCAGGCGCCCGCCAGCCCGCCGGGGGGGGGGGGGGGGGGGGGGGGGGGGGGGGGGGGGGGGGGGGGCCAGCCCGCCGGAGCUGCGGCUCCGCCGUCUGUGCCCAGGUCACAGGACGGGAGCUGCCAGACGGACCCGAGCCGCACGCACAGCUUCUGCCACCCCGGCCCCGAGCAGCCGCACUGGAGCAGCGAGGAGCCUGCAGGAAGCAAUUACAGGGGAUGUCUUCAGAGCACUGAGCCCCAGGCAGGGCUGGCUGCGAGACCAGGCUGCCAGAGCCCUCCUGCCAGGGGUACCUCAGGCACAGGUACCUGGCUCUGGGCAGGAACCAGGUUCUGGCUGUGAGGUGUCGCUGAAUCACAGACUGUCUGCUGGAGAGAUGAUGCACCUUGUGCUGCUUGCUCAGGCAGGACUGGACAUGCUGGAUGCCCCCAACAGGGUCUGUCUGACCCAUCCCUUCGGCCUCCCCAAGACCCCUCCAGCCUGUGACCUCCUUCCUACUCCAGCUCUUCCUCCUCCUGUGAUUCCAUCCAAAUUCUGAUUAAACGUACUGAAAAACAUGUAGAGUUCCCCUUAGCUGAUGACAUCCCUUCCCUGUCCUAUAAGGGAUCAUAUUUUUAAAGCUAUUCGUGUUUUUGAAGCAUUCCCAAUUCUCUGCAGUUUGUCUCCACCUUUCUUAAACAGAGUCAGAACCUGGGCAUUCAACUGGAACCUCCAGCAGCCUAAGAAGAAAUACAGAUACAACACCUGUCCUACGGCAGCCCAGUAAGAUACUGGGAUACCACAGUAACAGCAUACCACUGCUCUUACCUAAUUAGGCGUUCUGUGGCAAAGGUUUCCAAAAGCUGUGUGCAUUGAUAUGUACAUUGAUAUGUAUUGACACGAUCCCCUUGAUGUUAUUCUGAAAGAUGUCUAAAAUAGGCUACAAUGGAGCCUUAGAUUCAAGUCCUGGGGUUGAGGGCUGCAGGGCACCUGCACACGAGCUGGUAAUCUGUACCCCAGGACGAGUUCAAACCCAGCCAGUCUCUGCAACACAUGGGCUCCAGCUGCCUCAACCCUCCACUGAUGGAGAAACUGCUCUGAGAACGAGACCAGAAUACACCAGGGUUUGAGGAGAGCCAUCACUGCAACUCCCAACAUGCCCUUCAUGUGUCUUUUCUCUGGCAAUCCACACCAUAACCACACUGGGUUGGACUGGAGCUGUGUCUGUGUCUAAUGCAGGGGACAGGUGACCGCUCCCCUGCUCACAAGCAGCUUGGCCGGAGUCCCCAGGGCCAUGCGGGGCUGCAGAAGCAUCUCUGAGAGAUGGGCAGUUACAGGCCCUUGGCAAUCUGACCCAGAGCAGGUGCCUGGGGACAGGAGCAAGCUGGUCCCUGACCAGCCCUUCUCUGAGUUACAUGCAUGGUACAAACAUUAUGGCCAUGAACAUCUGGCUGAAAUUAAUGUAAUUCAUGAGAGGCUUAACAACAGCUGCGUGGGAAUAGUCCAAGAGCCAGGGAACAUUCCAGUGCUGGUUGGCCCUGGUGUGACAUUCAGGGUGGAGCCCUGAAAAGGAAAGGGAGUCUAAACCACAGUCAAAUGCUCCACUGAGCUCCCCAGAGGCCAUGACACCGGUAUCACUGCUCUCCCGGCCCCACCAGCACGGUAUCCCUGUGUUUCCCCAGACACAAACAGCACUGCUGCUCCAGAAAUCUGCAGAUAGGGCUGUUUUGUUGCCAGGGAGAUGCCCAGCUGGGAAGAUGGGACACCGG
rnacentral:lncRNA from 12 species